rnacentral:siRNA from 1 species
CACCACACCAUUGUGACCAUUGUG